GACAGAGGGUGCAAACGUUGUUCGGAAUUACUGGGCGUAAAGCGUGUGUAGGCGGCUGCGCAAGUCGGAUGUGAAAGCCCUGGGCUCAACCCAGGAAGUGCACCCGAAACUGCGUAGCUUGAGUACCGGAGAGGUUGGUGGAAUUCUCGGUGUAGAGGUGAAAUUCGUAGAUAUCGAGAGGAACACCGGUGGCGAAGGCGGCCAACUGGACGAGUACUGACGCUG
rnacentral:rRNA from 1 species